UGGCACAUAGCAGCCUUCGAAUUGGUAGCGCGCCGUUAUUGGGUGUCGGGGGUCGGAGGUUCAAAUCCUCUCGUGCCGACCA
rnacentral:tRNA from 1 species